rnacentral:rRNA from 1 species
UACGAAGGGGGCUAGCGUUACUCGGAUUGACUGGGCGUAAAGGGCGCGUAGGCGGUUCGUACAGUCAGACGUGAAAUUCCUGGGCUCAACCUGGGGGCUGCGUUUGAUACGUGCGGGCUUGAGUUCGGAAGAGGGUCGUGGAAUUCCCAGUGUAGAGGUGAAAUUCGUAGAUAUUGGGAAGAACACCGGUGGCGAAGGCGGCGACCUGGUCCGAUACUGACGCUGAGGCGCGAAAGCGUGGGUAGCAAACAGG